UUUUUUUUUUGUUUAUUUUUUACUCGAUAAAAAUUUUGCUGCCUAAUGUAUUUCAAUUCGGUGCCGAAAUCAGUUUUCUUAAUAUAGUAUGACUAUACGUCCUUGUUCUAUUCUUAUCCAACGGUUAAAUUAUUUCUAAACAGUAUUCGGGCGAAAGUUGUAAUAUUAUUACUAAUCCAAAACAACGAGUACCUACUAUUAUGUGUCUCGUUGAUUGUAUAAUAUGUAACUUUAACUGAGUCGAAAACGAAAUAAGAAUCGUAAAAGGUAGGCUAAUGACCGAAGAGGGAGUUUUCGACGCUCGUU